ensembl:lncRNA
GGUUAGGGGUUAGGGGUUAGGUUUUUGAAUUAUUUAUUUCUUAUUUAAAGUCCCCUGUUUUAGGUUAAAUGUGCACUGGCACAUCUCCAUCUUCCUUCUCUUUUGUCUUUUUUAAUAUUUUCAGUGUUUUAUUCUGUCUUUUGUGUGUGAGGACUGAUCUGUGUAUUUAUCAAAAAAUGGGUUAUUUGGUUUUUAAUGGCCUAUAUGUCUAUCCUCUUCUGAUCAAAAGGACAGACUAUUCAGGGUUAGAGUGAGGCUUAGGCUCAGGAAUAAGAUUCGAAAACGAGCAGAUUGUUAGGCUUAGGGUUGGGGUCAGGCAUGGGGUUCAAAGGUUAGGGUUAGGGUCAGUAGUGGGAUUCCAAGGUUAUGGUUUGGGUUGGGGUUAGGGCAUGGGUUCAAAGGUUAGGAUUAGGGUCAGUAGUGGGAUUCCAAGGUUAUGGUUUGGGUUGGGGUUAGGGUCAAUGAUGGGGUUCAAAAAGGUUGGGUUUAGGGUUUAGGUUGUGGUCAGGCAUAGGGUUCAAGAGUAGGGCUUAGGGUUGGGGUCAGGCAUGGGGUUCAAAGGUUAGGGUUAGGGUCAGUAGUGGGAUUCCAAGGUUUUGGUUAGGGUUGGGGUUAGGGUCAGCGAUGGGG